rnacentral:tRNA from 1 species
UCCCUGGUGGCUCAGAUGAUAAAGUCUCUGCCUACAAUGCAGGAGACCCAGGUUCGAUCCCUGGGUGAGGAA